UACGAAGGGGGGCUAGCGUUGCUCGGAAUCACUGGGCGUAAAGCGCACGUAGGCGGCUUUUUAAGUCAGGGGUGAAAUCCUGGAGCUCAACUCCAGAACUGCCUUUGAUACUGAGAAGCUUGAGUCCGGGAGAGGUGAGUGGAACUGCGAGUGUAGAGGUGAAAUUCGUAGAUAUUCGCAAGAACACCAGUGGCGAAGGCGGCUUACUGGUCCGGUUCUGACGCUGAGACGCGAAAGCGUGGGGAGCGAACAGG
rnacentral:rRNA from 1 species